rnacentral:rRNA from 1 species
AUUGAACGCUGGCGGAAUGCUUUACACAUGCAAGUCGAACGGUAGAGGGGGCAACCCCUCGAGAGUGGCGAACGGGUGAGUAAUAUAUCGGAACGUGCCCAGUCGUGGGGGAUAACGUAGCGAAAGUUACGCUAAUACCGCAUACGAUCUAAGGAUGAAAGCGGGGGAUCGCAAGACCUCGCGCGAUUGGAGCGGCCGAUAUCAGAUUAGGUAGUUGGUGGGGUAAAGGCUCACCAAGCCAACGAUCUGUAGCUGGUCUGAGAGGACGACCAGCCAGACUGGAAAUAAGACACGGUCCAGACUCCUACGGGAGGCGGCAGUGGGGAAUUUUGGACAAUGGACGCAAGUCUGAUCCAGCCAUUCCGCGUGCAGGAUGAAGGCCCUCGGGUUGUAAACUGCUUUUGUACGGAACGAAAAGGUCUCUCUUAAUACGGGGGACUCAUGACGGUACCGUAAGAAUAAGCACCGGCUAACUACGUGCCAGCCGCCGCCAUAA